rnacentral:rRNA from 1 species
UGUAUUAAAAAGGCAGUUUGGAUUAAUUUGAAAGAAUUAAAAAAAAGGCUUGCAAAGGGAAUUUUUUAAGCGAUAAUACGCAGCCCUCACAGUUGAGGGACAGGGAAGAAAAAGCGGGCUUGGUAGGCUAAAUAAAAUUAGUCAUAAAAAAGCUUGCAAAAGGAAUUAAAACGGCGAUAAUAUCGCACCCUUCCGUACGAAAUGUCGGAAGUAGAUUUUUAAGUAAAUUAAAAAGUAAAUAGAUAACUUUUGUGGGCACUUGGAGAAGAUGUAUUAAGGUACAAAACGACAAGUGACCAUAAUUAAUAAUCACGUAAUUUUUUUGAUAUAUAGUUAGUGGUCAAACUGGUGGUUCUGUAACAGGAACUGCCCGCAAGUAAUUAGGGUUUGCAUUUAUGUAGGCCCGAACAAUUAAUUGAAGAGUUUGAUCCUGGCUCAGAUUGAACGCUGGCGGUAUGCCUAACACAUGCAAGUCGAACGGUAACAGAGGAAAGCUUGCUUUCUUGCUGACGAGUGGCGGACGGGUGAGUAACGCGUGGGAAUCUACCCAGUAGUUGGGGAUAGCCCGGAGAAAUCCGGAUUAAUACCGAAUAAUGUCUACGGACGAAAAGGUGCCUCUUCUUGAAAGCACUUGCUAUUGGAUGAGCCCGCGUUAGAUUAGUUUGUUGGUGGGGUAACGGCCUACCAAGACUACGAUCUAUAGCUGGUUUGAGAGGAUGAUCAGCCACAUUGGGACUGAGACACGGCCCAGACUCCUACGGGAGGCAGCAGUGGGGAAUAUUGGACAAUGGGCGCAAGCCUGAUCCAGCAAUACCGCGUGUGUGAAGAAGGCCUUAGGGUUGUAAAGCACUUUUAUGUAGGAAGAAGGUUUGUUUGUUAAUAGCAGAUGAAUUUGACGGUACUACAAGAAUAAGCACCGGCUAACUCCGUGCCAGCAGCCGCGGUAAUACGGAGGGUGCGAGCGUUAAUCGGAAUUACUGGGCGUAAAGGGUACGUAGGCGGCUUGAUAAGUCAGAUGUGAAAUCCCCGGGCUUAACCUGGGAACUGCAUUUGAAACUGUCUGGCUAGAGUGAGUGAGAGGUUAGUGGAAUUCAAGGCGUAGCGGUGAAAUGCGUAGAGGUCUUGAGGAACAUCAGUGGCGAAGGCGACUAACUGGCACUACACUGACGCUGAGGUACGAAAGCGUGGGGAGCGAACAGGAUUAGAUACCCUGGUAGUCCACGCCCUAAACGAUGAGGACUGGCUGUUGGCGCUAUAGACGCGUCGGUAGCGAAGCUAACGCGUUAAGUUCUCCGCCUGGGGAGUACGACCGCAAGGUUGAAACUCAAAGGAAUUGACGGGGGCCCGCACAAGCGGUGGAGCAUGUGGUUUAAUUCGAUGCAACGCGAAGAACCUUACCAUCCCUUGACAUCCUCAGAACGGUCUGUAAUGGACCCGUGCCUUCGGGAACUGAGUGACAGGUGCUGCACGGCUGUCGUCAGCUCGUGUCGUGAGAUGUUGGGUUAAGUCCCGCAACGAGCGCAACCCCUAUCUAUAGUUGCCAGCACGUAAUGGUGGGAACUCUAUAGAGACUGCCGGUGAUAAGCCGGAGGAAGGUGGGGACGACGUCAAGUCAUCAUGGCCCUUACGGGAUGGGCUACACACGUGCUACAAUGGUGCAUACAGAGGGUUGCCAAGCCGCGAGGUGGAGCUAAUCCCAGAAAGUGCAUCUUAGUCCGGAUUGCAGUCUGCAACUCGACUGCAUGAAGUCGGAAUCGCUAGUAAUCGCGAAUCAGCAAUGUCGCGGUGAAUACGUUCCCGGGCCUUGUACACACCGCCCGUCACACCAUGGGAGUGGGUUGCUCCAGAAGUGGCUAGUCUAACCUUCGGGAAGACGGUCACCACGGAGUGAUUCAUGACUGGGGUGAAGUCGUAACAAGGUAGCCGUUGGGGAACCAGUGGCUGGAUCACCUCCUA